GACGAACGCUGGCGGCGUGCCUAAUACAUGCAAGUCGAACGCACUCUCGUUUAGAUUGAAGGAGCUUGCUCCUGAUUGAUAAACAUUUGAGUGAGUGGCGGACGGGUGAGUAACACGUGGGUAACCUGCCCUAAAGUGGGGGAUAACAUUUGGAAACAGAUGCUAAUACCGCAUAAAACCUAACACCGCAUGGUGUAGGGUUGAAAGAUGGUUUCGGCUAUCACUUUAGGAUGGACCCGCGGUGCAUUAGUUAGUUGGUGAGGUAAAGGCUCACCAAGACCGUGAUGCAUAGCCGAACUGAGAGGGUAAUCGGCCACACUGGGACUGAGACACGGCCCAGACUCCUACGGGAGCAGCAGUAGGGAAUCUUCCACAAUGGACGAAAGUCUGAUGGAGCAACGCCGCGUGAGUGAAGAAGGUUUUCGGAUC
rnacentral:rRNA from 1 species